UACGUAGGCAGCGAGCGUUGUUCGGAAUUACUGGGCGUAAAGCGUGCGUAGGCGGUUAUUCAAGUCAGAGGUGAAAGCCCGGGGCUCAACCCCGGAACGGCCUUUGAAACUAGGUAACUAGAAUCUUGGAGAGGUUAGUGGAAUUCCGAGUGUAGAGGUGAAAUUCGUAGAUAUUCGGAAGAACACCAGUGGCGAAGGCGACUAACUGGACAAGUAUUGACGCUGAGGUACGAAAGCGUGGGGAGCAAACAGG
rnacentral:rRNA from 1 species